AGUGAACGCUGGCGGUAGGCCUAACACAUGCAAGUCGAACGGCAGCACAGCAAGAGCUUGCUCUUACGGGUGGCGAGUGGCGGACGGGUGAGGAAUACAUCGGAAUCUGCUUUUUCGUGGGGGAUAACGUAGGGAAACUUACGCUAAUACCGCAUACGACCUACGGGUGAAAGCAGGGGAUCUUCGGACCUUGCGCGAUUGAAUGAGCCGAUGUCGGAUUAGCUAGUUGGCGGGGUAAAGGCCCACCAAUGCGACGAUCCGUAGCUGGUCUGAGAGGAUGAUCAGCCACACUGGAACUGAGACACGGUCCAGACUCCUACGGGAGGCAGCAGUGGGGAAUAUUGGACAAUGGGCGCAAGCCUGAUCCAGCCAUACCGCGUGGGUGAAGAAGGCCUUCGGGUUGUAAAGCCCUUUUGUUGGGAAAGAAAAGCAGCAGGUUAAUACCCCGCUGUUCUGACGGUACCCAAAGAAUAAGCACCGGCUAACUUCGUG
rnacentral:rRNA from 1 species